rnacentral:rRNA from 1 species
GAUAAACGCUGGCGGCGUGCCUAACACAUGCAAGUGGAGCGACGAACCGGGCUUCGGCCCGGGGCAAAGCCGCGAACGGGUGAGUAACACGUGGGUAACCUGCCCCGAUGAUUGGGACAACCCGAGGAAACUCGGGCUAAUACCGGAUGUGCCCUAUGGCCUCAAGGCCUGUGGGGAAAGGAAGCUUCGGCCUCCGCAUCGGGAUGGGCCCGCGGCCCAUUAGCUUGUUGGUGAGGUAACGGCUCACCAAGGCAACGAUGGGUAGCUGGUCUGAGAG